AACGAACGCUGGCGGCGUGCCUAACACAUGCAAGUCGUGCGAGAAAGUUCCUUCGGGAGCGAGUAAAGCGGCGCACGGGUGAGUAACACGUAGGUAACCUGCCCCCAGUCUGGAACAACUAGAGGAAACUCUAGCUAAUGCCGGAUGAGACCACGAUCCCUUCGGGGGUUGCGGCCAAAGAUGGCCUCUACUUGUAAGCUAUCGCUGAGGGAUGGGCCUGCGGGCCAUUAGCUUGUGGUGAGGUAACGGCUCACCAAGGCCGUGAUGGCUAGCUGGUCUGAGAGGAUGACCAGCCACACUGGGACUGA
rnacentral:rRNA from 1 species